AUGCCAUACUUCAAAUGUGUUAGUGCAGGGGAUUUAGUUCAGCCACUGAAUGUGUUUGUAUCCUUGUGGUGGACUUUUGGUGGAGGCACCCGACUCGCAGUUGGAACCCUGCCCACUCUAACGGUCCUGCUGCCCUCCAGAGAUGAGUUGAAGCAGGGUAAAGCUACAGUCAUGUGUCUAGCAAAUAAGGGAUUUCCCUCUGACUGGCAGCUGAGCUGGAAUGUGGAUGGUGGCAGCAGAAACUCUGGUGUUAACGUGAGUCCCGGUGUGCUGCAGAAAGAUGGACUGUACAGCUGGAGCAGCAGUCUGACUCUCACUGAGAGAGAGUGGAGCAGUGCAAAAACCAUCAGCUGUGAAGCCACUCAGGGUUUCCAUACUCCAGUUAUCAAGAACCUUAACACAGAACAGUGUGAUGUGCAGUGAAAACACACACUCACAGACAUGCAUAUUCAUUCACUCAGUCAUUCACACACAUAUUCAAGCACAAAUCUUCACAAAAGCCAUUAUCAUAGAUUUGCUAUAUAACUUUUUUUCUAGUUUUCUGUAUGCUUAUGAUUACCACGCAUACAGGGCCAUAGCAUGGUAUUCUGGGUCCCCUGACUGUAUAUUGCUCUGGGCCCGUUUCCUAUUAAAAAGAAUGUUUAUAAUUUGUUGUGGAGGCCCCCUGGAACUAUGGGCCCCAAGAAUCAUUACCACCUUUCACCCCACUAGCUACAGCCAUGCACGCAUGACCACAACUAUAUGUUUUAUGUGUUAAAAAUGCUUUACUGCCAAAUAAAAACUUUUUGAAUCAUUAACAAUAUUCAAUUAAUUUUGUUGUUAUGAAUAAAUAUGCAGUAGCACAUUAUUUUAAACAUAUAAUAGGGUGUUUCUUCAACUUCGGGCAAUUUCAUAUAAUGUCAGAGGGGUUGGUUUUUAUUAAAACUUGCAGAUUUAAUAGUUUUUCCUUUUCUCAUAUAAAGAUCACAUUAAAACUGACUUUUUACCAGACCUUCAUCAUUUAUUUUUGGUACUUUUCAAAUGCCUUUUAUAUAGGUCUUAUAGAUUUAGUUUUGUCCCAGACCCAGACUUUCAAUAUUGAGCUAUGAAAAUACAUUAUAAAAAUACAAAUUAUUACGUUUAAAAAUGAUGAUCUAAACAAAGAGUGAAAUACUCAUAAACCAUUUCAAUAUUUAUUGUAUGUUCUGUAAAUUAUUUCUGAACUGAAUUUUCCAAGAUUUACAACUGUCCCACAGUUGUGGCAUCAUUUCCACCACACCAAACAAUUUUGUCCCAAUAAAGUUUUUUGCAUCGAUUUGUAUCCAUCUCAUCUGCCUAACCAACAACAUUACAAACUUUUUAUUGGGUGUUCCUUCAGUGUCAGCACUUUUAGCACUGUAAACUUCUAAAAGUAAAGUCUUGGUAAAACAUUUCCACAUUUUCACUAUUUACUUAAUAUGUCUACAAACAAUGUACAACAGUGAUGACUUUGAUCUUUCGCCUUUACGUCUGUUUACCAAAAAUUGAUUAGCUAUAUUUUAAUAGAUUGCAGUUUGAAUGGAAAUAAUAAGUAUGAUUAUGACGCCCUAGUGUUUAACAUUUAUUUUAAAAAAUAGAGUAUGUUGUGUAGUGUUUGACAGAAAUCAUAAAAUAUAAGUCUGUGUUUAUUAAAAAUCAGUCAAGUGAUUUUAAACCACCAUU